rnacentral:rRNA from 1 species
UAGAGUUUGAUCAUGGCUCAGAUUGAACGCUGGCGGCAGGCCUAACACAUGCAAGUCGAGCGGUAACAGGAAUUAGCUUGCUAAUUCGCUGACGAGCGGCGGACGGGUGAGUAAUGCCUGGGAAUAUGCCUUAGUGUGGGGGAUAACUAUUGGAAACGAUAGCUAAUACCGCAUAAUGUCUUCGGACCAAAGAGGGGGACCUUCGGGCCUCUCGCGCUAAGAUUAGCCCAGGUGAGAUUAGCUUGUUGGUGAGGUAAGAGCUCACCAAGGCGACGAUCUCUAGCUGGUCUGAGAGGAUGAUCAGCCACACUGGAACUGAGACACGGUCCAGACUCCUACGGGAGGCAGCAGUGGGGAAUAUUGCACAAUGGGCGCAAGCCUGAUGCAGCCAUGCCGCGUGUAUGAAGAAGGCCUUCGGGUUGUAAAGUACUUUCAGUGGGGAGGAAGGUGUUGUCGUUAAUAGCGGCAGCAUUUGACGUUACCCACAGAAGAAGCACCGGCUAACUCCGUGCCAGCAGCCGCGGUAAUACGGAGGGUGCGAGCGUUAAUCGGAAUUACUGGGCGUAAAGCGCAUGCAGGUGGUUCAUUAAGUCAGAUGUGAAAGCCCGGGGCUCAACCUCGGAACCGCAUUUGAAACUGGUGAACUAGAGUGCUGUAGAGGGGAGUAGAAUUUC